CAGAGAUUGGAUUAACUUUGGAGGGCUGCUAUUCCAAUAAACCAGGGACAACAUGCCCAUCUUAUUCAAACAAGAAGAGGAGGAGAAGGAAGGGGAGGAGAUGGAGAAGGUGAAGAAGGAAAAAGGGAAGCAGA
rnacentral:lncRNA from 1 species